rnacentral:rRNA from 1 species
AGUGAACGCUGGCGGUAGGCCUAACACAUGCAAGUCGAACGGCAGCACAGUAAGAGCUUGCUCUUACGGGUGGCGAGUGGCGGACGGGUGAGGAAUACAUCGGAAUCUACUUUUUCGUGGGGGAUAACGUAGGGAAACUUACGCUAAUACCGCAUACGACCUACGGGUGAAAGCAGGGGAUCUUCGGACCUUGCGCGAUUGAAUUAGCCGAUGUCGGAUUAGCUAGUUGGCGGGGUAAAGGCCCACCAAGGCGACGAUCCGUAGCUGGCCUGAGAGGAUGAUCGGCCACACUGGAACUGAGACACGGUCCAGACUCCUACGGGAGGCAGCAGUGGGGAAUAUUGGACAAUGGGCGCAAGCCUGAUCCAGCCAUACCGCGUGGGUGAAGAAGGCCUUCGGGUUGUAAAGCCCUUUUGUUGGGAAAGAAAAGCAGCAGGUUAAUACCCCGCUGUUCUGACGGUACCCAAAGAAUAAGCACCGGCUAACUUCGUG